rnacentral:rRNA from 1 species
GCUCAGGACGAACGCUGGCGGCGUGCCUAAUACAUGCAAGUCGAGCGAACCACUUCGGUGGUUAGCGGCGGACGGGUGAGUAACACGUGGGCAACCUGCCUGUAAGACUGGGAUAACUUCGGGAAACCGGAGCUAAUACCGGAUAAUCCUUUUCCUCUCAUGAGGNAAAGCUGAAAGACGGUUUCGGCUGUCACUUACAGAUGGGCCCGCGGCGCAUUAGCUAGUUGGUGAGGUAACGGCUCACCAAGGCGACGAUGCGUAGCCGACCUGAGAGGGUGAUCGGCCACACUGGGACUGAGACACGGCCCAGACUCCUACGGGAGGCAGCAGUAGGGAAUCUUCCACAAUGGACGAAAGUCUGAUGGAGCAACGCCGCGUGAGCGAUGAAGGCCUUCGGGUCGUAAAGCUCUGUUGUUAGGGAAGA